rnacentral:misc_RNA from 1 species
GAUGAAGAACGUAGCGAAAUGCGAUAAGUAAUGUGAAUUGCAGAAUUCAGUGAAUCAUCGAAUCUUUGAACGCACAUUGCGCCCGAUGGUAUUCCGUCGGGCAUGCCUGUUCGAGCGUCAUUUCAACCCUCAAGCGCAGCUUGGUGUUGGGUGCUUGUCCCGCCUCCGCGCGGCGACUCACCUCAAAGUCAUUGGCAGCCCGCAUCCGCCGGCCGUGAGCGCAGCACAGUCGCGCCCUAGGCCCCGGCGGAUCGGCUCUCCAGAAGCUACCCCCCAAUGUUGACCUCGGAUCAGGUAGGGAUACCCGCUGAACUUAAGCAUAUCAAAAGCGGAGGA